rnacentral:misc_RNA from 1 species
GAUGAAGAACGCAGCGAAAUGCGAUAAGUAGUGUGAAUUGCAGAAUUCAGUGAAUCAUCGAAUCUUUGAACGCACAUUGCGCCCCAUGGUAUUCCGUGGGGCAUGCCUGUUCGAGCGUCAUUUACCCCCUCAAGCUCCGCUUGGUGUUGGGCGUCUGUCCCGCUUCGCGCGCGGACUCGCCCCAAAGGUAUUGGCAGCGGUCGUGCCAGCUUCUCGCGCAGCACAUUGCGCUUCUCGAGGCACCGGUGGGCCCGCGUCCAUCAAGCUCGCCCCCCCAGUUUGACCUCGGAUCAGGUAGGGAUACCCGCUGAACUUAAGCAUAUCAAUAAGCGGAGGA